rnacentral:rRNA from 1 species
CCUACGGGAGGCAGCAGUGAGGAAUAUUGGUCAAUGGACGAGAGUCUGAACCAGCCAAGUAGCGUGAAGGAUGACUGCCCUAUGGGUUGUAAACUUCUUUUAUAUGGGAAUAAAAUGUUGCACGUGUGGGAUUUUGUAUGUACUAUAUGAAUAAGGAUCGGCUAACUCCGUGCCAGCAGCCGCGGUAAUACGGAGGGUCCGAGCGUUAUCCGGAUUUAUUGGGGUUAAAGGGAGCGUAGGUGGAAUGUUAAGUCAGUUGUGAAAGUUUGCGGCUCAACCGUGAAAUUGCAUUUGAAACUGGCAGACUUGAGUACAGUAGAGGUGAGCGGAAUUCGUGGUGUAGCGGUGAAAUGCGUAGAUAUCACGAAGAACACCGAUUGCGAAGGCAGCUCACUGGACUGCAACUGACACUGAGGCUCGAAAGUGUGGGUAUCAAACAGGAUUAGAUACCCCAGUAGUC